UGCAGUGAAAGGGUAUAUCGUAUUCGUGGAACUGCAUGUAACAGGCUGUCGUUUGGGACUACAAAAGUUGACAUUCCGCUUUGGAAUAUUUCGCUUAUGCCAAUCAACUGAAACGUAUUGAUUUUCGUGCGAUCUACUUCACUGAGCCGCCAACCGUUCUCUCAACCGCUCACCGAACCCAACAUCUUUUCUACCUGCGCUUCGUGUGGUGCUCUCUUUCGUGCUUUCGGUUAAGCACGAUUGAACACGUCUGCGUUCUCACAAUAGCAACAACAAUGAGAGACUAAUUUCGGCUGUGUUGUGUGGUGUGUGGGAGAGGGGCAUAGAACCGAUCUCUCUGCAAAGCUUAUCUCUCGAGCACAAGCACUAGCAUGUACAUUAAUACAUACAUAUGUACGCAAAAGACACUUUUGUCAGCCUCUGGAUAGACAGAUUAAAGAAGAGACGAAUAAUGGAUAAUUUCGUGAGCGCAAGUCUUUUGUAA